UACGUAGGGGGCAAGCGUUGUCCGGAUUUAUUGGGCGUAAAGAGCGUGUAGGCGGCCUGAAAGGUCAGCUGUGAAAACUCGAGGCUCAACCUCGAGACGUCGGUUGAAACCAUCUGGCUCGAGUCCGGAAGAGGAGUGUGGAAUUCCCGGUGUAGCGGUGAAAUGCGCAGAUAUCGGGAAGAACACCCGUGGCGAAGGCGGCACUCUGGGACGGUACUGACGCUGAGACGCGAAAGCGUGGGGAGCGAACAGG
rnacentral:rRNA from 1 species